rnacentral:rRNA from 1 species
UACAGAGGUGGCAAGCGUUGUUCGGAAUCACUGGGCGUAAAGCGCACGUAGGCGGAUUCCUAAGUCGGGGGUGAAAUCCUGGAGCUCAACUCCAGAACUGCCUUCGAUACUGGGAAUCUUGAGUCCGGAAGAGGUGAGUGGAACUGCGAGUGUAGAGGUGAAAUUCGUAGAUAUUCGCAAGAACACCAGUGGCGAAGGCGGCUCACUGGCCCGGUACUGACGCUGAGGUGCGAAAGCGUGGGGAGCAAACAGG